UACGAAGGGGGCUAGCGUUGUUCGGAAUUACUGGGCGUAAAGCGCACGUAGGCGGAUUGUUAAGUUAGGGGUGAAAUCCCAGGGCUCAACCCUGGAACUGCCUUUAAUACUGGCAAUCUCGAGUCCGAGGAGAGGUGAGUGGAAUUCCGAGUGUAGAGGUGAAAUUCGUAGAUAUUCGGAGGAACACCAGUGGCGAAGGCGGCUCACUGGCUCGGUACUGACGCUGAGGUGCGAAAGCGUGGGAGCAACAGGGA
rnacentral:rRNA from 1 species